rnacentral:tRNA from 1 species
AGCCCAUUGGCCAAGCAGUAAGGCAUACGACUUUGACUCGUACAUCUGCAGGUGCAAAUCCCGCAUGGGCUG